rnacentral:lncRNA from 1 species
AUGGUUUUCACACCUGUGUGCUUUGAUUUUCCCAGGCUGUGGUCUGACACCUGUUUCCAAUAGUCUAAAGAACACCUUCUCUAGUCAAGCCUGGAAGCACUUCCAACCUCAGAUGCCCAUGAAAUAACAAAGGGAAUUUGAAAAGACCUGAGACUUUGUCUGCAGAUGGCUGCAUUAGACAUGGAUUCUUGACCCA